rnacentral:misc_RNA from 1 species
GAUGAAGAACGCAGCGAAAUGCGAUAAUUAAUGUGAAUUGCAGAAUUCUGUGAAUCAUCGAGUCUUUGAACGCACAUUGCGCCUCAUGGCAUUCCGUGAGGCAUGCCCAUCUCAGCGUUAGAAAAUAUUCUCAAAUUUUAGUUUUGUGCUAAAAUUUGGAUCAUGUCAAAGAAGCUAUUACUAUUAUUGUGAUCGCUCUUUGGAAAUUGAUAGGUCUUUGAGUUGUUACUCAUAGAACGUGAUGAAUCUUUCUUCGUUCUAUUGUAAUUCACUCUGGUAGUCCUAAAACUUGUAUGCCUGUGGCAUAUCUUGUAAUUUGACCUGAGAUUGGGUAGGGAUACCCGCUGAACUUAAGCAUCUCAAUAAGCGGAGGA